rnacentral:rRNA from 1 species
GGGAUACCUAAAAUUCCCAUGGCAAACUGCUCAAUAACACAUGAUCAACUUACCCUAUAUAGAAAAAUAACCUCGGGAAACUGAGGAUAAUGUUUCAUAGUUGAAAAGGCUUAGAAAAGUUUUUCAAUCAAAGAGAUAAGAAAAAUGGUUCUUAUCUGCUGUAGGAUGGGACCGUGGUCGAUUAUGGUUGUUGGUGAGGUAAUGGCUCACCAAGCCGAUAAUCGAUAGGGGCCGUGAGAGCGGGAGCCCCGAGAUGGGUACUGAGACAACGACCCAGGCCUUACGAGGCGCAGCAGGCGCGAAACCUCCGCAAUACACGAAAGUGUGACGGGGUUACCCAAAGUGUUCAUUUAUGAACUGUGGCAGGUGGGUAAUGUCCCCUGCUACAAAGGAGAGGGCAAGGCUGGUGCCAUCCGCCGCGGUAAAACCAGCUCUUCAAGUGGUCGGGAUAAUUAUUGGGCU